rnacentral:lncRNA from 1 species
CUCAAAAUAAAUGUGAUGCCCAUAAUUCUUUGGCAUGUGGUUUUUGGUAUGGAGAAGGUUGGUUCCAUGUUGAACACUUUCACAAAACUAGAUAUAUUUAUUUAAUUAAUUAAAUGGUUCAAAUCUAAUCACAUUAGGUCAAGGCAACAAGACUAGGUUAGCAUAAACACCUUUGCACUAAAUCCAAUUGGAAACUUGGGUUAAUUCAUGUGCUAGCAAUUUAAUAACUUAUUAAAUUUAUAAUAAAUUUAAAUUGAUUAGGCCA